CAAAAUUUUUGUGGCUCACAUUUGUUUGCCGACUUUGCCAACCACUGGCUUAAGCCACCAAUGUACAAUCGGGCCUAAGGGGUUUUUUCGUGUGUGUAUUCUUAAAUGUGUUCUCAAACUAUUAUUCUGAUUAAACUGCUUAAAACAAAUUUCACACG